rnacentral:rRNA from 1 species
AGUAGCAUAUCAAUAAGCGGAGGAAAAGAAACUAACAAGGAUUCCCCUAGUAACGGCGAGUGAAGCGGGAAGAGCUCAAAUUUGAAAUCUGGCGGUCUCAGGCCGUCCGAGUUGUAAUCUAGAGAGGUGUUUUCCGUGCCGGACCGUGUACAAGUCCCUUGGAACAGGGCGUCAUAGAGGGUGAGAAUCCCGUCCAUGACACGGACUACCGGUGCUCUGUGAUACACCUUCAAAGAGUCGAGUUGUUUGGGAAUGCAGCUCAAAAUGGGUGGUAAAUUCCAUCUAAAGCUAAAUACAGGCGAGAGACCGAUAGCGAACAAGUACCGUGAGGGAAAGAUGAAAAGAACUUUGGAAAGAGAGUUAAACAGUACGUGAAAUUGUUGAAAGGGAAACGCUUGAAGUCAGUCGCGUCUGCCAGGACUCAGCCUUGCUUCUGCUUGGUGCAUUUCUUGGUGGAUGGGCCAGCAUCGAUUUUGAUUGCCGGAAAAGGGCGGGAGGAAUGUGGCAGCUUUUGCUGUGUUAUAGCCUUCCGUCGUACACGGUGGUUGGGAUCGAGGACUGCAGCACGCCUUUGGUCGGGGUUCGCCCACGCCACGUGCUUAGGAUGCUGGCGUAAUGGCUUUAAACGACCCGUCUUGAAACACGGACCAAGGAGUCUAACAUGCCUGCGAGUGUUUGGGUGCAAAACCCAGGCGCGUAAUGAAAGUGAAAAGUUGGGACUCUUUAGUGAGGCACCGACGCCCGACCCUGAAGUCUUCUGACGGGUUUGAGGCAGAGCAUGUAUGUUGGGACCCGAAAGAUGGUGAACUAUGCCUGAAUAGGGUGAAGCCAGAGGAAACUCUGGUGGAGGCUCGUAGCGAUUCUGACGUGCAAAUCGAUCGUCAAAUUUGGGUAUAGGGGCGAAAGACUAAUCGAACCAUCUAGUAGCUGGUUCCUGCGAUCU